rnacentral:rRNA from 1 species
UACGAAGGGGGGCUAGCGUUGCUCGGAAUCACUGGGCGUAAAGGGUGCGUAGGCGGGUCUUUUAAGUCAGGGGUGAAAUCCUGGAGCUCAACUCCAGAACUGCCUUUGAUACUGAAGAUCUUGAAUUCGGGAGAGGUGAGUGGAACUGCGAGUGUAGAGGUGAAAUUCGUAGAUAUUCGCAAGAACACCAGUGGCGAAGGCGGCUCACUGGCCCGAUACUGACGCUGAGGCACGAAAGCGUGGGGAGCAAACAGGG